AGUUGCGGUGGAAACAAAGGCAGUUCUCGCUUCAGAUUCCUCCCAGAUAGCAAUAUGUCAGGAGCCCCUGGAGAGGCUGAAAGUAAAUGAAUCAGUGCUAGAAAGUGAAGGAUCUCAUCCGUGCUGAAUGGUGAGAAGGAGUCCUGAGCAGCAUCUCCAUUGAUUUUCCCGUAAUUGACACCCAGCUCGGCUCGCCGGAGGCUGCGCGGGAGCGCCAGGCCCAGGACCCCUGGAAUCCCCUCUGCUGUCGGAGCAGGCCCAGCAGUGACAGAUCCCAGUGUGGCCUUAGCGGGACAGUGGGAGAGACAAGCAGGCACAGAGACCUGCCAGAGCCCCGGAUGCUCCAGGAUUUCCAGGCUCCACAA